rnacentral:rRNA from 1 species
UCCAGAGGGUGCGAGCGUUGUUCGGAAUUAUUGGGCGUAAAGCGCAUGUAGGCGGUUUGUUAAGUCGCGUGUGAAAGCUCCAGGCUCAACCUGGAAAGUGCGCGCGAAACUGGCGAACUUGAGUGCCGGAGAGGGUGGCGGAAUUCCCGGUGUAGAGGUGAAAUUCGUAGAUAUCGGGAGGAACACCAGAGGCGAAGGCGGCCACCUGGACGGACACUGACGCUGAGACGCGAAAGCGUGGGGAGCAAACAGG